rnacentral:rRNA from 1 species
UGGGGGAUAUUGCACAAUGGGGGAAACCCUGAUGCAGCGACGCCGCGUGAGUGAAGAAGUAUUUCGGUAUGUAAAGCUCUAUCAGCAGGGAAGAAAAAAGACGGUACCUGACUAAGAAGCCCCGGCUAACUACGUGCCAGCAGCCGCGGUAAUACGUAGGGGGCAAGCGUUAUCCGGAUUUACUGGGUGUAAAGGGAGCGUAGACGGCAAUACAAGUCGGAAGUGAAAUACCCGGGCUCAACCUGGGAACUGCUUUGGAAACUGUAUGGCUGGAGUGCUGGAGAGGUAAGCGGAAUUCCUAGU